rnacentral:ncRNA from 1 species
ACAGAGUUGAUGCGUCCCCUGUGGAUUGCCCGGCGGGCAUAGCAGCGAAAAUCCGGGCUGAAAAGGCCGGAUGGCGAAGC